rnacentral:rRNA from 1 species
GAUGAACGCUGGCGGCGCGCCUAACACAUGCAAGUCGAACGAUUAAAGCACCUUCGGGUGUGUAUAAAGUGGCGAACGGCUGAGUAACACGUGGGCAACCUGCCCCUUUCAUUGGGAUAGCCACGGGAAACCGUGGAUAAUACCGGAUACUUCGAGACUUCCGCAUGGAAGACUCGAGAAAGCUCCGGCGGAGAGGGAUGGGCCCGCGGCCUGUUAGCUUGUUGGUGGGGUAACGGCCUACCAAGGCAAUGAUGGGUAGCUGGGUUGAGAGACCGACCAGCCAGAUUGGGACUGAGACACGGCCCAGACUCCUACGGGAGGCAGCAGUGGGGAAUCUUGCACAAUGGGCGAAAGCCUGAUGCAGCGACGCCGCGUGCGGGAUGAAGGCCUUCGGGUUGUAAACCGCUUUCAGCAGGGACGAGGCGAAAGUGACGGUACCUGCAGAAGAAGCCCCGGCUAACUACGUG